rnacentral:antisense_RNA from 1 species
CUUGAUCGAGCCCAGCCACAGCGGCUCGGCGCGGUCCUGGCCGUAGGUGGCGAUGACGGCCUGGGCCUC